GACGAACGCUGGCGGCGUGCCUAAUACAUGCAAGUCGAACGAACCGCGACUAGGUGCUUGCACUUGGUCAAGGUGAGUGGCGAACGGGUGAGUAACACGGGGGUAACCUACCUCAUAGUGGGGGAUAACAGUCGGAAACGACUGCUAAUACCGCAUAGGAAAUAGGAUCAAUUGAUCCAGUGAGGAAAGGUGGCGCAAGCUAUCGCUAAGGAGUGGACCCGCGGUGCAUUAGCUAGUUGGUAGGGUAAAGGCCUACCAAGGCGAUGAUGCAAAGCCGACCUGAGAGGGUGAUCGGCCACAUUGGGACUGAGACACGGCCCAAACUCCUACGGGAGGCAGCAGUAGGGAAUCUUCCGCAAUGGACGCAAGUCUGACGGAGCAACGCCGCGUGAGUGAAGAAGGUCUUCGGAUCGUAAAGCUCUGUUGUUAGAGAAGAACAGCGCAUAGAGUAACUGUUAUGCGUGUGACGGUAUCUAACCAGAAAGCCACGGCUAACUACGUG
rnacentral:rRNA from 1 species